GAUGGGAAGUAGGUCACCUGCUAGAGGAGCAGGGAGUUUGGGAACAGAGAUAAGCAUGCAUGCCAACUUCCAGCCUAUAGCCCUGAGUUUCCUUUCUUUCCACCCUAAAUAGGUUGGUAGCUGCAAAGCAGGAAAAGGCUGAUCCAUUAAAGAAGAGAGAGAGCGAGAGCGAGAUUCCUGUCAAUAAACCACAGUAGCCAGAGGAACCCAAGUUUAGCAUCACUCGCUCAGCCUGUUCGGGAGCCUCUAAUGGACUCCACUUCCGUGAACGCAAAGUUUCAGGAUGACAUCUGGCUGUUGGGGCUCAGGAUGAAGAGAGACAAUGAACAUGAAUCUCAAGCCGGGAUGACAAACUGGCUGUACAGGAGCCCGUGGAUGAUGGAGGCAGGCCGUUUUCCACCAGGCAGCCCCAGGCAGCCUAACAACAAAAUGCCUGCCAGCCACACGGGGGCAGAGGCCUGUCCCCUCCAUCCCAUUGUUCCUGCGGCUCGCGGAGUGCUGGC